rnacentral:rRNA from 1 species
GUCCACGCCCUAAACGAUGGAUACUCGAUGUCGGUCCGCAAGGGUCGGUGUCUAAGCUAACGCAUUAAGUAUCCCACCUGGGAAGUACGAUCGCAAGGUUGAAACUCAAAGGAAUUUACGGGGGCCCGCACAAGCAGUGGAGCAUGUGGUUUAAUUCGAUGCAACGCGAAGAACCUUACCUGGGUUUGAAAGGCAAGUGACAACCGAUGAAAGUCGGUCUUGUAGCAAUACACACUUGUACAGGUGCUGCAUGGCUGUCGU